rnacentral:rRNA from 1 species
UACGAACCGUGCGAACGUUAUUCGGAAUCACUGGGCUUAAAGGGUGCGUAGGCGGGCUGUCAAGUCUGGGGUGAAAUCCCGCGGCUCAACCGUGGAACUGCCUCAGAUACUGAUGGCCUCGAGGGAGGUAGGGGCAUGCGGAACUGUAGGUGGAGCGGUGAAAUGCGUUGAUAUCUACAGGAACUCCGGUGGCGAAAGCGGCGUGCUGGACCUCUUCUGACGCUGAGGCACGAAAGCUAGGGGAGCAAACGGG